AUGGACAAGUCCGGGGGAUCCUCCAAGGAGGCCCUCUCGGGCAGCAAGCGUCGUCGUGAUGAUUCGCCGGGAUCUAGGGUGGAUCUGGCGUACGAGGCCGAGCUUCGCUCCAAGCUGGAGGCUGGUCGCGUGGCGCGCGAGGUGGAGCGCGAGCGUGAGGCGUGGGCGGCUGGGCCGGAGUGGCUCCAGCGCGACGAGCAGGCGCGGUCGGCCGCUGGAUCUGGGGUGGCUCUGCCCGGAUCUGGUGGCGCGGCUGCGGCGGUUCCGGAUCCGUGGGAGGCUGCUGCUGCUUCGGCUGCUGGUGGUUCCUCCUCGUCGGCGCUGCGUCAGGCUCCGCUCCGGGGCCCGGUGGCUCCGCCGCGGGCGCCUCCUCGCUCCUUUGCUGCUGGCGCUACCUCCCGCCCUGCUCAGCGCUUCGGCUCUGGCUCCUCCUCCGCGCAGGUCAGAGAUCGUCGUGGUCUGCCCUUUGGUCCGGGCUCCUCUUCCGCCGGCCUUGGAGAUGGUCUUCUCCCCCCUCCCCCGCCUCCUCCUCCCCUCCAACACUCAGCUGUUCCAAACCCAUCUCCUUCUCUUACAUGCUUUGCAUGCCAUAGACCGGGCCAUUUCCAGCCCAGAUGGUUCAAUCCGCCCUUCUGUCUCAUUUGCCGCUCAGAUGGACACCUGAUUGUUGAUUGUCGCAACCGCACCAAGAAUCCCUCCUUUGUGCAUUUCGGGACCAGUCUUCCAGGAUGUUCUUUCUUUGCCCUUGAUUCUGAUGUGCCUGUGGUUGUGGCUGCGCCCUCGCUCUCUAAUGCGGCUAUCAUCUCCGUCCGCGACCAAAAGAUCUCUCCGUAG
rnacentral:rRNA from 1 species